UUACAAUGGCUAGCCCCAAGUCGUUAUCCUUCCCUGUAGCUCAGUUGGUAGAGCAUGGUGUUUGCAACACCAGGGUUGUGGGUUCGAUUCCCACGGGGGGCCAGCACAGAAAAAAAAUGAAAAAUGUAUGAAAUUGUAUGAAAUGUAUGCAUUCACUACUGUUAGUCGCUCUGGAUAAGAGCGUCUGCUAAAUGAUGUAAGUGUUAUAUAUUUUAUUAUUUUCUUGUGCAUUUUUCUAUUUUGCUAUUUGCCUUAUGAUUCCUACACACUUAGUUGACUACAAACUUUCUUUACCCAACCGUGGGACAGACUACGUUUGUUCCCACACUCAGAACUCUUUUUUAUUUAUUUUUUAUUUUUUAUUUCAACUUUAUUUAAUCAGGUAAGCCAGUUGAGAAUAAGUUCUCAUUUACAACUGCGACCUGGCCAAGAAAAAGCAAAGCAGUUGAAAUUCUCGAUUACCAUAGAUUUAUUGGUGGUGACAGUGUUUCCUAGCCUCAGUGCAGUGGGCAGCUGGGAGGAGGUGCUCUUAUUCUGACUCUCUAUUGGUUACACAGACUUUUGGCCUCCCAUCCUAUUCUAAACACCCCCCGCUGGCUUUGUAUUCAUGUUACCUGAUGAAAUUGCUGUACAAAAUUAUCUUGUUGCCAUCUGAUGUCAUAAAUCAGCACUGCAGAGCUCUCCCUGUCCUGUGCCAUACCUUGAUUUUAUUACUGUUGACGAUAUCUGGAAAUGUGCAUGUAUACCCUGGCCCAUCUACAGUUGCUAGCCCCAAUUCUGACUUGUGCUCUGAUAUCUGAUUCACUGAUUUCUGCUCUCGUAAAAGCCUGGGUUUUCUGCACGUUAACACUAUAAGCUUGUUACCUAAAAUGGAUCAAUUGAAAGUGUGGGUUCACAGCUCCAAUCCACAUAUGUUGGUCAUUACUGAGACGUGGUUAAGGAAGAUUUUUUGGAAUACUGAUGUUAACCUUUCUGAAGGUGUAGUCUGGCCCUUAACUGAGUGUAGUCUGGCCCAGGAGUGUGAAGGUGAUUGGAAAGGCACUGGAGCAAUGAACUGCCCUUGCUGUCUCUGCCUGGCCGGUUCCCCUCUCUCCACUGGGAUUCUCUGCCUCAAACCCUAUUACAGGGGCUGAGUCACUGGCUUACUGGUGCUCUUCCAUGCCAUCCCAAGGAGGGGUGGGUCACUUGAUCUUCCUGUCCGGGUUGGCGCACCCCUUGGGUUCGUGCCGUGGUGUAGAUCUUCGUGGGAUAUACUCAGCCUUGUCUCAGGAUAGACCUGAGCCCUAGGACUACCUGGCCUGAUGACUCCUUGCUGUCCCAAGUCCACCUGGUCUUGCUGCUGCUCCAGUUUCAACUGUUCUGCCUCCGGCUAUGGAACCCUGACCUGUUCACCAGACGUGCUACCUUGUCCCAGACCUGCUGUCUUCAACUCUCUAGAGACAGCAGGAGCAGUAGAGAUACUCUGAUUGAUCAGGCUAUGAAAAGCCAGCUGACAUUUACUCCUGAGGUGCUGACCUGUUGCACCCUCGACAACCACUGUGAUUAUUGUUAUUUGGCCCAGCUGGUCAUCUAUGAACAUUUGAACAUCUUGGCCAUGUUCUGUUAUAAUCUCCACCUGGCACAGCCAGAAGAGGACUGGCCACCGACCAUAGCCUGGUUCCUCUCUAGGUUUCUUCCUCGGUUC
rnacentral:lncRNA from 1 species